rnacentral:lncRNA from 1 species
CCUCUAUAAAAUGGAGAUAGUGAUACCUAUUCUAGUUCAGAAGAAUCUCAAAGAAUCAUAUGAGAUCAGCGUUGAACCUUGCAACCGCCUGAGAAGACCUGGACUGCUCUCCUUGAUGGACUCGUGCUCCUCAUCUCCCAGGGAGUAGAACUGAAGCUGUAGCCUGGAGGUUAAGCUCUGGGGGCUUUGAAACAGGACAGAUUUCCAAGCCCCUGUCCAGGAUUCUGAUUUAGCUGGCCUGGGAUGAAAACACGGAUCUCUAUGUUUAACAAACAAACCAGUGGAUUUUUAACACAGGGGGUUUAGGAAAUUAUACAAAGUAAACACUCUCCCAGGGCUAAUCUUGUUAUUAAUUGCUUAUUGUCAGUUAAAAGCAUUUCUUCACUGGAGAUGAGGAUAAAGCCCAAACUUAAAGCGUCAGUAAAACUUUCAAAUUGAAGAUUAUUUGUAAAUGUUUUUCUCCUAAAUUCUAAGUCUCCUAUUCCAGAUAGUAUCAUUCUCAUAAUCAAAAUCAUCAAAUCAUCAAAAAAAUAAAAUUCUCAUAAUCGAAAUUUAACGUUCUUCAUUCCACUUAGAAUCAGAGAAAGGCUGUGAACAGCAGGUAAGACCUAGAGUCACUGCAGUGUCUCAUUGUACUGUCUGGCUUCAGCUCCAGGACUGAACACACACAGCCAAUGUUCAGAAUUAUGAUUCUGGAAUUCCACGGUGUUCUGACAGUUAUAUCCUUAAUUAUUUCUUUAGACUUAAUUCCUAAAAGUGGAAUUUCUG